rnacentral:sRNA from 1 species
UGAGGAAGUGUCCUGGGGACAAAGGUAA